UCUUCAUAAGUUCUUUAUUAAAACUUAACAACGCUCACCGAGUUCCACUCUUCAACAAGACAAUGAAACUGUUCCUGAUCGUCCUCCUAGUGGCCUGUGUGGCAUUCGCCGUCGCCAUGCCCGAGCCUGAGCCACAAUUUCGCGGAUUUGGUUUCAGACAAGGAUUUGAAGAUUUCGGACAAUGGAUAAGGAAUAUUUUCCGUCCAAGGACCGUUUGAAAGUCUCUCAGAUUUUAAUUGAUAAGCAAUGAAGUGAUAUGUAGACUCUGCUCUCUUUAAAGAAAAAUAUCAAUACAAGUUUAAGAUUUGGGAAUGAUUUUUUAUGUCCCUUAAUAAAAUAUUUCAUCCAGACUAUCAAUAUCGAACAAAUAAUGCGCCAGUUUCCGUUCUAAAAUGAAAAUAACAGAGGCAUUAUGGUGAUAAGUGUAAGUUAGUGCGAUCGCAAGUUAGAUUUCAAUGGAAGGAGAUGUGAUCACGAGCCCGCUUUGUCUCUAUGAAUUGUAAGGUGGUUCUCGAUGUUGUGGAUGGGAUUUCCUUUAAAUAAUUUUUUAAUAAUUUGUUUCCCUGUAUAUUUAAUCGAAACCUGACUGAAGUAAAUAUUUCGACUUCGUUUAUUUUCUCAUGAUUUAUUCAAAUAACUGCGAUGAAUGAAAAGUAAGACAUAUUUUUUCUUCAUUCAAUUCAAAAAUUUUACAACGGAUAAUGUUCCCUGAAUAUAACUGUAUAGAAUGCAGACAUCGAAUUGUCAAACAUAAGAUAUUAUUAUACCGAUCAGCAAAUAUAAAAAACUAGCCGGUUAACCCGGAUCGACCCGGCAGGAUCGAUAACAUGAGUUUUUUUGUCUCGUCUAUAAAAUGAAAUAGGAAUAAAUAGAAAUGAAACCAUUAUUGUAUGAUUUGUAAGGAAUGCCACGUUCAAUUCACACUACAGUUUUCGCAUUGAGCAUUGAACUUCAUUUGACACUCGAUACAAAAUGUAGAACGAUUGUUUUUCUUUCGAAACUAAAUUAAUUUAUCCCAAUUUAGAAUUCAAAUGGUAAUUUUUGAUACAACCUUGCUAGCAGUUUUCAAAUUGUAUCAUCGUUUAUUUGCCACUAUACCAGUGACAUUAGUUUAACAAAUAUUUCGUAUACCGGGCAGGAAUAAUUUCCUUAUAUUUAAAGAAAUAACUAAUUUUGAAAAUAUUCACUAGCAACACAAGCAAGUUAAUACUCGGGAAAUAUUGCAGAAAUGAGAUUUUCAAUUCUCUGGAAAUUCUUCAAUUAUGUUUCAGACGGGCUACCGAAGUAGGGAAGAAUAAAAAAUCAGCCACUGCGUUGAUAUUUUCUGUCAAAGUCUAAAACUGAUUUACGACACACCGCUCCAGGUCUUGGUCAUGCUUUCUUGUUCUUCCUUAGCUGAAAUAUUCUUAUUUAGCCAAAUUUCAUUGUUGAUUUUUGGCCCUCAAGGAGGUCCCUUCCAAUUUGUGCCUUCACCUCACCACCUCCUGUCCUCUCAAUUUUUUCCUGUCUGUAGCGCAGUUGCAACGCCUAAUAAAGAGCUAACAAAAUUCAAAAAAGAUAAUUCCAAUUCGCUUUGAAUAAGGUCGCACUAUUUCACUUUAUGUUCAGCAUCAAUGAUGUAUUUUGUAGAAAAAAGUCGCAUGUUUUGUAUGAGGUUUCAUAACAAUUUUACAAUACAGCUUGACGUCCUAGCUGCUGAUGCCUUGAUUUGUAAAAUUUACGAAUCUUUUUUAGAACGUCUCUUUUCCUGUUCUUGCACGAAAGUCGCACGAUUGCAUUUAUUUGUAAAUAUUCUGGUUUAUUGGUGACGUUUUGUUACUAAUUCUGCAAAUCCGACUCUCAAAAGCUUGAUCCGAUGCCUUUAUAAACGUAUCAGAAAAAGCAAUAUAGGGUUACAGAAAUAUACUCAAACCUCAAAAUAUACUUGAUUUCAUGCAUAAAAACGUAAUAUUAGUACAUUUGAAGAUGACAGAAAUGAAACUCAUAAGCUGAAUAACUAUUUAAAAACACGAAUCUAGUGCGACAAACAGGCAACCACAGAAUGUUGCCACUCACGCUUGCAAUAAUCAUCGUCUAAUGUGUGAAAUUUGUAUACAAAAAUUUCCUGAGUAAUUCUUAAAAAACAUUGGAUUUUCCAGAUGAUUCAACUUAUUCAUUGACUUCUAUUUUCUAGAAUCAAACAUAUUAUCAACAAGUGUUAAAAACCCCCAUGCUCAAAUUCGGUGGCUUCGGGGGCCUUGAAGAACAUCGGAAAGUAGUAGGAGUAUAAAAUUUAGAGAAUAUAUUAAUUUUGCAGGUUUCCAUGUAAGUUGAAAAUGUCAGGUAAACAAAAUCUGGAAAACUCUUUUUUGCCCCUCCUCAAGGCUAUGCUUUAGGCUAAUUCUUCAUUGAUAUAUUCGUAGGAUACAGUAACGAAUUUUCAGCAUUCCUAAAUUUGCUGGGGUGGACGAUUAUUCAAUAGGUAACUUUCAGGUAGCUGAACAAGAAGACACUGAGGCAAUAACAUACGUGUCAAAAAUUCUCUUUGAUCUCUAAUAGCAAACCCGUUUGUAUUAUGAAUGAUGUGUAAAUAAAAUAUUCCUGUUUGGCACUACCGAGCGAUCAAAUUUUAAUGUCCUCAAAUUACAUCAAUGCUAAUCGUCAAAUAUUAAAUAAUUUAUUCAGAACUGAAGAUAAUUUCGUCUAUAAAUGUUACUUUCCUAAUGUCCACUGAUGGUAAUUUAAUUAUCUCGCUUAUAAAUGAAAAUUAUUAUUGAUGUCGGGUAUUUAAUCCACAACCUACGAUUGAACAGUAAGAAACUUCAUUUGUAGAGAUCUCAACCAAGGUAAGUAAAACGAAAAUUUAGUUCUUGAAGUUUCGUCAUCAAACAUAAUAGUAGUAUUGAAGAAAUGCAGUUACUAUGAAUAAAAUACAGGGAUACAAGGAAAUUAAAGGUCUAACAGUAACUUAUAGUACCAAUCACUAUUUUGAUUUCAGUUAUUGCCUUUGCUUCCUAAAAAGUUCACUGUUCAAAU
rnacentral:lncRNA from 1 species